GCCAGCAGCUAUAUCACCCUGCAGCUCUCAACUGGCUACCCACUGAAGCUAAGCAAGGUUGAGCCUGGUCAGUACCUGGAGAGGAGACCUCCUGGAAAGCCAAGGUUGCUGCUGGAA
rnacentral:rRNA from 1 species